AUUGAACGCUGGCGGCAGGCCUAACACAUGCAAGUCGAACGAGUGGCGGACGGGUGAGUAAUGUCUGGGAAACUGCCCGAUGGAGGGGGCUAACUACUGUAAACGGUAGCUAAUACCGCUUCCCAUCGGCUGUGCCCCGAUGGGAUUGGCGAGUAGGUGGGGUAACGGCUCACCUAGGCGACGAUCCCUAGCUGGUCUGAGAGGAGGACCAGCCACACUGGGACUGAGACACGGUCCAGACUCCGACGGGAGGCAGCAGUGGGGAAUAGUGCACAAUGGGCGCAAGCCUGAGGCAGCCAGGCCGCGUGUAUGAAGAAGGCCGUCGGGUUGUAAAGUACUUUCAUCGAGGAGGCGUUACUCGCAGAAGAAGCACCGGCUAACUCCGUGCCAGCAGCCGCGGUAAUAC
rnacentral:rRNA from 1 species